AGCCAGUCCCUUCGGGGGCGAGUAAAGUGGCGGACGGGUGAGUAGCGCGUGGGUAAUCUACCUUCCAGUGGGGGACAACCUGCCGAAAGGCGGGCUAAUACCGCGUAACACGAUCGGUUCACAAGGGCCGGUCGUCAAAGGCGGCCUCUGCUUGCAAGCUGUCGCUGGAAGAUGAGCCCGCGUCCCAUUAGCUAGUUGGCGGGAUAACAGCCCACCAAGGCGACGAUGGGUAGCCGACCUGAGAGGGUGACCGGCCACACUGGGACUGAGAUACGGCCCAGACUCCUACGGGAGGCAGCAGUGGGGAAUAUUGCGCAAUGGGCGAAAGCCUGACGCAGCAACGCCGCGUGAGUGAUGAAGGCCUUCGGGUCGUAAAGCUCUGUCGCAGGGAACGAAAAGCACGGCUCCAACAGGGCCGUGUCAUGACGGUACUCUGCAAGAAAGCCCCGGCCAACUCCGUGCCAGGAGCCGCGGUAAGACGGAGGGGGCAAGCGUUGUUCGGAAUUACUGGGCGUAAAGAGCGCGUAGGCGGUCAUGUAAGUCGGAGGUGAAAGCCCAUGGCUCAACCGUGGAAUGGCCCUCGAAACUGCGUGACUUGAGUACGGAAGAGGAGAGCGGAAUUCCCAGUGGAGCGGUGAAAUGCGUAGAUAUUGGGAGGAACACCAGUGGCGAAGGCGGCUCUC
rnacentral:rRNA from 1 species